CGGGCCUGGUGAGCCCCCCGCUGUCCCGCCGUCCCCAGAGCCGCGGGCCGCCGGCGACCCCGUGUCCUCCCAGCGUCCCUUGCGGCAGCGGGAGGCCAGGGUCGUGUUGAGGUCACCGUGACGGGGAAACCGGGAGGCCGCGGGCUUCCCUUCCAGAAGCCUCCGAAGAGAGGUGCCGGGGCGCCCGGGGCUUGUGCAGGGGCGCGAUGCCCGAGGCACCGGAGCCAGCCGGGGCCACGUCGGGGGACGGAGGGGGGCGGCUGCCUCUAAGAACGCGGAGCCAGAAGACGGGGCCGGGUCGCGGGCGACUCGGGCGAGCCGCCGUCCUCCGCCGUUGUGGGGGUGACAGUGGCCGACGGCCCGCGGGACCCCCGCCUGGCACGGCUGCCUCCCCCCACCGACCCCCCGCGAAGGAGGGCCGGCGGGGACGGCGGUGUGGCCGCGCGGGGCCCAGGGGCGGCCGGCCGGGGUCGCCCCGCUCCCGCUCCCGCUCCCGCUCCCGCGCCUCGGCUGAGCCAGGAGCCGGACGCUUCUGGAGAGGGGGGCGCACCCCGCCUGCCGAGGCGAGGACCCCGGAGGGGAGGCCCGAGGCCGCCCCGCUUCGCUGCUUCGCCCUAACCGCGUUGUCCCUGCGCCCAGGCUGCUGACAGGGGGGGAAAGGCGCGCUCUGCGACCGUAACGCCCCUGCGUCGUGUGCGACCCUGGCCACCGACAACCACUGAAGUAGGGAGGAGACAGAUGGCAGAAGAGGAUGGUCGCCGAGCCCGUCAUAUCUCGGAAAGGAAGGACACGCAGCCCUGCGCGGGGACCUCAUCUCUGCGACCCGACGGGUGGCCGUGGCCCACUCCCACGGAGUGGCCCUCCGCCAGCCCCUCGUCAGGCUGCACCUCCGCCUGGUGCGGCGACCUAGACCGCCAUCCCCGAGGACUCCGAGCUCCCGCUGACCCCGCCGGCCUCGGGCCACCGCCGUCUUCGCCAACCGGGUCCCCUGGGCAUGGGAGUCCUGGGAAGGGCUGUGGUUACAUCGUCUUCCUUCCCGCCCCUGCCGUGUACCGGCUGUCCCACGUCCCCUCGUCCCCUCGGUAGUCCGGAAGUCAGACCCUGGCUCUUCCUCGAACCUGCCGGGUGACUUGCACAUGUUGCUUAAUGUCCCCGUGACUCAGCGUCUUUGCUGGAGAAAUGGGAAUAACCCUUGCCACAUGUGUCAUAGGAAACUUCGCGAGCUCACCGGUGCAGGCUGGAGGUGCGGAAGCGGGCAGGUGUGACCGGGCCUAUGGGGAGUGUGGCCUACCUGCUCCUGGCAAUUUACCUGGGCUCAAGGUGACAUGGCUUUGCUCCAAAACCCGGACCCCCCCCCAUCUCUCUCUUCCAUUAGUGCUUGCCAGGACCAGGAGGCAGAGGAGCAGGACGGAAUGGGGUUCCCGCUUCUGCUCUGGGACCCCCACAGCAGUCCCGAACUUCUUGCCUCUGGACUCCUUUUAACGGAAAAACUCUUGAUUACGUCACUGUUCUUCCCUGUUGCUGUUACUUGAAGUAAAAGGCAAUUACCUAAUUGA